GGGCCCGCACAAGCAGCGGAGCGUGUGGUUUAAUUCGUCGCAACGCGAAGAACCUUACCAGGGCUUGACAUGUGGCGGAAAACGGCGGAAACGUCGUCCUCCCGCAAGGGAUCGUCAUCCAGGUGUUGCA
rnacentral:rRNA from 1 species